rnacentral:rRNA from 1 species
AACGAACGCUGGCGGCAGGCCUAACACAUGCAAGUCGAACGCCCUAGCAAUAGGGAGUGGCAGACGGGUGAGUAACGCGUGGGAACGUGCCCUUCAGUUCGGGAUAAGCCGAGGAAACUUGGUCUAAUACCGGAUACGUGCGAGAGCAGAAAGAUUUAUCGCUGAAGGAUCGGCCCGCGUCCGAUUAGCUAGUUGGUGAGGUAACGGCUCACCAAGGCGACGAUCGGUAGCUGGUCUGAGAGGAUGAUCAGCCACACUGGGACUGAGACACGGCCCAGACUCCUACGGGAGGCAGCAGUGGGGAAUAUUGGACAAUGGGCGCAAGCCUGAUCCAGCCAUGCCGCGUGAGUGAUGAAGGCCCUAGGGUUGUAAAGCUCUUUCGCCAGGGACGAUAAUGACGGUACCUGGAUAAGAAGCCCCGGCUAACUUCGUGCCAGCAGCCGCCGCCG